CGACAGGUUCAUCCGCCGCAGGCCUGAGGGUAGAGGAGACCGGCCAAGAGCGCUCCCGCAGCCUGAACCGCCAAGAAGGGAAGAGCAACUCGGGGACCGGCCUCCCAUCGGGACCAUCGACUCCAUCACCGGGGGACCUCAAGGAGGAGCGGACCACCCGCGACCGUGGAGCUCAGAACACCUGUAAAUGUAUCACUUACGAUUUCACUUUGAAUCUAAAUUCCUUUCUACUUAACGUACUCUUCC
rnacentral:lncRNA from 1 species